GUGCCUGUAGCUCAGCUGGAUAGAGCGUCUGACUACGGAUCAGAAGGCCAGGGGUUCGAAUCCCUUCAGGCACA
rnacentral:tRNA from 1 species